UAAAUUUUUAAAUUACUUUUUAAUUUACUUUAGUUUAAUAUUUUAACCUUAAUAUUUUUUAAGCUUUUUUCUUUUUCUUUUUUAGUUUUUCUAACAUGCUAUUCAAUAUUCACCUAUUCAUGUUGGGAUCAACCGAGUUUCAUCUCGUGAAAGUGUAUGGACAAUUAACAUCGCAUCCAUUCACAAAUUCUUUGGAGAAACAAGUGACAUCGAAACAGAGUGGAAGAACAUCAUCGAAUCCCAUCACGUGCAGACGCAUUGCAAUACAGUCCAGGUUCGAGGCACUGUACAGGAUAUAUGACGUAAAUCGAAUGCAUGCCGUUCUGUUUACAUACAUACGAGAUAAGAGUUUGUCCU